UGGGUAACACUAACUGGAGGACCGAACCGACUAAUGUUGAAAAAUUAGCGGAUGACCUGUGGCUGGGGGUGAAAGGCCAAUCAAACCGGGAGAUAGCUGGUUCUCCCCGAAAGCUAUUUAGGUAGCGCCUCGUGAAUUCAUCUCCGGGGGUAGAGCACUGUUUCGGCUAGGGGGCCAUCCCGGCUUACCAACCCGAUGCAAACUGCGAAUACCGGAGAAUGUUAUCACGGGAGACACACGGCGGGUGCUAACGUCCGUCGUGAAGAGGGAAACAACCCAGACCGCCAGCUAAGGUCCCAAAGUCAUGGUUAAGUGGGAAACGAUGUGGGAAGGCCCAGACAGCCAGGAUGUUGGCUUAGAAGCAGCCAUCAUUUAAAGAAAGCGUAAUAGCUCACUGGUCGAGUCGGCCUGCGCGGAAGAUGUAACGGGGCUAAACCAUGCACCGAAGCUGCGGCAGCGACACUGUGUGUUGUUGGGUAGGGGAGCGUUCUGUAAGCCUGCGAAGGUGGCCUGUGAGGGUUGCUGGAGGUAUCAGAAGUGCGAAUGCUGACAUAAGUAACGAUAAAGCGGGUGAAAAGCCCGCUCGCCGGAAGACCAAGGGUUCCUGUCCAACGUUAAUCGGGGCAGGGUGAGUCGACCCCUAAGGCGAGGCCGAAAGGCGUAGUCGAUGGGAAACGGGUUAAUAUUCCCGUACUUGGUGUUACUGCGAAGGGGGGACGGAGAAGGCUAUGUUGGCCGGGCGACGGUUGUCCCGGUUUAAGCGUGUAGGUGUGUGUUCCAGGUAAAUCCGGUUCACUUUAACACUGAGGCGUGACGACGAGGCACUACGGUGCUGAAGCAACAAAUGCCCUGCUUCCAGGAAAAGCCUCUAAGCAUCAGGUAACAUCAAAUCGUACCCCAAACCGACACAGGUGGUCAGGUAGAGAAUACCAAGGCGCUUGAGAGAACUCGGGUGAAGGAACUAGGCAAAAUGGUGCCGUAACUUCGGGAGAAGGCACGCUGACACGUAGGUGAAGUGAUUUACUCAUGGAGCUGAAGUCAGUCGAAGAUACCAGCUGGCUGCAACUGUUUAUUAAAAACACAGCACUGUGCAAACACGAAAGUGGACGUAUACGGUGUGACGCCUGCCCGGUGCCGGAAGGUUAAUUGAUGGGGUCAGCGCAAGCGAAGCUCCUGAUCGAAGCCCCGGUAAACGGCGGCCGUAACUAUAACGGUCCUAAGGUAGCGAAAUUCCUUGUCGGGUAAGUUCCGACCUGCACGAAUGGCGUAAUGAUGGCCAGGCUGUCUCCACCCGAGACUCAGUGAAAUUGAACUCGCUGUGAAGAUGCAGUGUACCCGCGGCAAGACGGAAAGACCCCGUGAACCUUUACUAUAGCUUGACACUGAACAUUGAGCCUUGAUGUGUAGGAUAGGUGGGAGGCUUUGAAGUGUGGACGCCAGUCUGCAUGGAGCCGACCUUGAAAUACCACCCUUUAAUGUUUGAUGUUCUAACGUGGACCCGUUACCCGGGUUGCGGACAGUGUCUGGUGGGUAGUUUGACUGGGGCGGUCUCCUCCUAAAGAGUAACGGAGGAGCACGAAGGUUGGCUAAUCCUGGUCGGACAUCAGGAGGUUAGUGCAAUGGCAUAAGCCAGCUUGACUGCGAGCGUGACGGCGCGAGCAGGUGCGAAAGCAGGUCAUAGUGAUCCGGUGGUUCUGAAUGGAAGGGCCAUCGCUCAACGGAUAAAAGGUACUCCGGGGAUAACAGGCUGAUACCGCCCAAGAGUUCAUAUCGACGGCGGUGUUUGGCACCUCGAUGUCGGCUCAUCACAUCCUGGGGCUGAAGUAGGUCCCAAGGGUAUGGCUGUUCGCCAUUUAAAGUGGUACGCGAGCUGGGUUUAGAACGUCGUGAGACAGUUCGGUCCCUAUCUGCCGUGGGCGCUGGAGAACUGAGGGGGGCUGCUCCUAGUACGAGAGGACCGGAGUGGACGCAUCACUGGUGUUCGGGUUGUCAUGCCAAUGGCACUGCCCGGUAGCUAAAUGCGGAAGAGAUAAGUGCUGAAAGCAUCUAAGCACGAAACUUGCCCCGA
rnacentral:rRNA from 2 species